rnacentral:tRNA from 1 species
UCCCAGGUGGCUCAGACAGUAAAGAAUCUGCCUGCAAUGCAGGAGACCCAGCUUCGAUCCCUGGGUUGGGAA